UGGGGAAUAUUGCACAAUGGGGGAAACCCUGAUGCAGCGACGCCGCGUGAGCGAAGAAGGCUUUCGAGUCGUAAAGCUCUGUCCUAUGAGAAGAUAAUGACGGUAUCAUAGGAGGAAGCCCUGGCUAAAUACGUGCCAGCAGCCGCGGUAAUACGUAGGUCCCUAGCGUUGUCCGGAUUUAUUGGGCGUAAAGCGAGCGCAGGCGGUUAGAAAAGUCUGAAGUGAAAGGCAGUGGCUCAACCAUUGUAGGCUUUGGAAACUGUUUAACUUGAGUGCAGAAGGGGAGAGUGGAAUUCCAUGUGUAGCGGUGAAAUGCGUAGAUAUAUGGAGGAACACCGGUGGCGAAAGCGGCUCUCUGGUCUGUAACUGACGCUGAGGCUCGAAAGCGUGGGGAGCGAACAGG
rnacentral:rRNA from 1 species